rnacentral:rRNA from 1 species
AUUGAACGCUGGCGGCAUGCCUUACACAUGCAAGUCGAACGGUAACGGGCCUUCGGGUGCCGACGAGUGGCGAACGGGUGAGUAAUGCAUCGGAACGUACCUUUCAGUGGGGGAUAACGUAGCGAAAGUUACGCUAAUACCGCAUAUUCUGUGAGCAGGAAAGCAGGGGAUCGCAAGACCUUGCGCUGAGUGAGCGGCCGAUGUCAGAUUAGCUAGUUGGUGAGGUAAAGGCUCACCAAGGCGACGAUCUGUAGCGGGUCUGAGAGGAUAAUCCGCCACACUGGAACUGAGACACGGUCCAGACUCCUACGGGAGGCAGCAGUGGGGAAUUUUGGACAAUGGGGGCAACCCUGAUCCAGCCAUGCCGCGUGAGUGAAGAAGGCCUUCGGGUUGUAAAGCUCUUUCGGCCGGGAAGAAAUCGUAUGGGCUAAUACCCUGUGCGGAUGACGGUACCGGCAUAAGAAGCACCGGCUAACUACGUGCCAGCAGCCGCUGUAACAC